rnacentral:lncRNA from 1 species
AAGUAUCCUCCGCCAGAACAAUAUCCACCGCCGAUCAAGAAGUAUCCUCCGCCAGAACAAUAUCCACCGCCGAUCAAGAAGUACCCACCGUCGCCGUACGAGACUUACCCUCAUCCACCGCCGAUCAAAACUUACCCUCAUCCGCCGGUGAAGUAUCCUCCGCCGAUCAAAACUUACCCUCAUCCGCCGGUGAAGUAUCCUCCGCCGAUCAAAACUUACCCUCAUCCGCCGGUGAAAUAUCCUCCGCCGAUCAAAACUUACCCUCAUCCGCCGGUGAAGUAUCCUCCCCCAGAACAGUAUCCACCGCCGAUCAAGAAGUAUCCACCGCCGACUUACCCUCAUCCACCGGUGAAGUAUCCACCGCCGAUCAAGACUUACCCUCAUCCGCCGGUGAAGUAUCCACCACCUCCGUACAAGACUUACCCUCAUCCGCCGAUCAAGACGUAUCCUCCUCCGAAGGAAUGUCCUCCUCCGCCGGUACAUUACCCUUUUCCCCCGAUCAAGAAAUAUCCUCCACCGGUUGUGUAUCCGUCGCCACCAUAU